rnacentral:lncRNA from 1 species
AUGGGCUUCAUCGUGGUAUCCAGAUCGACGCUAGAUGAUCGUAUUUUCUUUCCUCUACUCUUAAUCUCUGAAUAAAGUUUUAUGUUGAACUCUAAAGUACUCAUUUGGUGAACUCGACUUGUAACAAUUGAUGCUAGACUUGUGAGAUAAAAGCUAUGGAAUAUUGUAAUCUCUGGACUUGCCUUCGUGCGAGUUAUGUGCACGCUUUGUUUCGAUUGAAAUCUUAAGUGGUCGUAUCAGGAUUUACCCGACAGAAUGUCGGAUCACUCCGUUUGAAGUGCAUGGUAGUCGGUUCAUCUAUGAACAAUGGUUAGUGCACUUGAGCCGGGUUAAUUCAGGCGGUUCUGCCAUAAUGUGCUUAUGCACAAUGGACUGAUGCAGAUCUUUUUAGUUAUGACGUCUACUAUAUGGGCAUAGUAUUUCAGCUUCUUCACCAAAUUUCUCUAGAAUGAAGUUCGUGAAUUUGUUGACACCAUUGAUGUAUUCAUCUGAAAACAAUGUACAGUGCACCCAACUUCCAUCCAUCUGAACAAAUUUUGCAAAAAAAAUUCAUAAAUCCACAAAUGUGUACAUGGUACGUUUAAUAGAACCAAGAAAAAAAAGGGCAGACACAUACCUCUGCUGCUGGCUGGUGCUGAGCUGAGGAAGAAAUCAACGACAGGUAUGGCGCCGAGAUGGGGAAGAAGGCUGCAGUGUUGAGAUGGAGAAGAAGUCCGCUGUAAUGGCUCCUCUUGUUGGUGCUGCAAUGGCCGUGGGCCGCCGGCGAUGAUGCAGGAUGCCGCACCCCAAAGGCAAUUGGAGAAGGGGCCCCCUACAUAGAUCCACCUCUCCUCGCCGCGCAAUAGGCGCUUCCCCGAAACGAGCAUCCGCUGGUGUCGCCAACUCUGCCGUCGGCCGCGUGAACAGAGGAGUCUUCUCGGCAGUCAACUUCGUGAGAUCUGAGAUUUAGAUGAGAAACUAUGAUUGUUUAUUUGAAGUAAUAAAGGAAAAUAUCAAACCAUACACUGGUUUAUGCGAUUUGGUGAAUGGAGCUUCUAGUUGGAGAACCAGGUUCGAUCCCUCCUUACUUAUUUUUUUCUUAUUUUUUGGACAUAUGGGCUAACUCAGGUGAUUUGGGAUAUGGAUUGGCGCAGUUUGUGACGAUUUCUGUUCCCCACUCUAUGACGUUUCAUAGAGUUCCAUCACUAAAAUCGGGCCCAAAUUGGCCCUCUCGCAGAUCCGUGAUGAAAUGUUAAAAAGUCACAAAUCUUACCCUAUUUGUGACAUUUAUUAUGAACGGUCACUCGAAAUUCGUCAUAGAUUAGAUGGUUUGUUGUAGUGACUAGAGAAGGAUUUUAUGAGUAGAAUGAGGUUGUUUGGUUUUGAAUGUAUUUGCGUCUUUAUGGUAUUUUUAUAAAAAAAGUUUUGAUGGUAUCAAAAGCGAUUAGAGAAGUGUUUACAAAGUAUCAAAAUAAUGGUUUGUAGUCAAAUUUUAAAACUGAUCAUAUUAUUCUUUGUAGUCAAAUGACCAAUAUAUAGAACCUGAUUGGUUACAUGCAUGCCCUGGGAUGGCUCAUAUGUGUGUGCAAGGCCGGGCGUAUGCAAUGCUUCUUGAUUUGGUUGGCUGUAUCUGUAUUUCUACCUAAGGUGAUAUGGUGUUUGAUGGCUCGCUCGAGGACAUGUUGUGUGAGACAAAAAAAAUAAUCCUUAACAUGGUAUUUAUUUGUGUAACUAUUAUCUUACAGCUCUAGAUUCAUUAAGUACUCAUUAAUAGUAUUUAAAAUACGGUAAUCUCUACUAUUAGUAAAGCAAUCAAUGAUUCCUUCGUCCAUCAAUUAGAGUCCUAAUCGGAAUCUGGGUAACCGUACGUUGAGUUAAGGGUCCGAACCCAUUUAGAAUUAGCGUUUUGCGAGUAAAAUAGAAAAAAAACUGAAUUCCUCAACCGACACGUACUAUUAUAAAAUAUAUAUGAUGUAUAAUAUAUAUAUUUAUAUACUAAUUAAUAUACUUAUAUGGCUCCCGUAGCAACGUACGAACAUGUUAACUAGUCUCAUUUAAUUUGUGCCUAAGGCUGACUCCAACGGAGUAGCCAUCCGGCCAGUCAAAGCGAAAAUGCCUACCGCGCGGGUACUGUAGUGCGAGAAUGUGGCUUCCAACGGCCAGCCAUUUGGGCCAGCCAAAAUUGCGGCAGGAGAGAGAAGCAGCAAAACUGGCUGCUACUGUUCGCGCUAGCCUUCGGUGUUGGGCCCACUCGUACCAAUGGUAGCACGGCGGCUUCUCCUCGUCCCGCUCCCCCUCCGUCUCCAUCGGUAUCGCCUUCCCCUCCUCCCCGUAGGGUCGCGCCUAGCGACAACCGCUGGCGGCGCACUUCCCUCCUCCCCACCUCGACCGCCGCCGGCGCAUCCCGUCCUCCUCGCCUCGGCCACCGACGCACCUUCCCCUCCUCCCCGCAGGGUCGCGCCCAGCGACCACUUCACCGCCGCCGGCGCACUUUCAUCCUCCCCACCUCGACCGCCGCCGGCGCGCAUCCCGUCCUCCUCACCUCGGUCACCGACGCGCAGACAAGGUGCUAUCUUCCUCCCUGACCCUUUGCCUUCUUCCUGCUUCCAUGUUGCGAUGAUUUGUGCGUAGAGCCGUAGAUCUGGGGGAGGCAGCGACAGCCGUGGCAGUGCCCUUGCACAACUGUACCUUCAUUGUACUUGAUGGAUUUCCGGUCGAUGCUGCUUGCGGCGGGGGCAUAGGAUGUGAUUGUGUUGGAUUUCCUUCGAUUUAGAUCUGGGCACGAUUUCCUUCGUUGUAGUUGAUGGACCUUGACCAUGUGGAUGUAUAUACUAUUUUGCUAAGCACAAAACUGCAACUAUGGUGAUUAUGAAAUUUGCAACUAUUUUAUUGGCUGAAAUGUGAUAUUCUAAUUGUGUAGGAUGAUUGUGUAUGUUUCUAAUGAGUAAAUAUGAAGUAAUCAGAAUUAUAGAGGAAAGGUUACUAACCAUGUGAGCAAAUAUGAAGUAAUCUGAGUUGUGUAACCUGUAUUUUCAGUUUCAAUUUCAGUUUCACUGCAUCUUUUGUGGCCUCUGAUGCUGAUUGUGUUCGAUUUCCUUUGAUUUAGAUGUGGGCACGAUUUCGUUCAAUUUAGUUCGUAUGCCCUACUUGCUUGCAGUAAUGGAGUCAAUUAUUUAACAAAGUAUAUACUCAUUAUUUCAGGUUGGAGAACCAAUUCAAUUACAUGUUUCAGGGUGGUCCAUCUCAAGGAGGUGACAAUUCCAAUGAGUUGUCAUUACCUCUGCCGUCAACCAUAAGGGAACUUGAGAAGGUAUAACUUGAGAAGGUAUGUUUCCUUCCUAAUUUGGAUUUUGCAUACCGUACUUUUUAUGGUUCACUAAUCACAUCUCUAUUUUUUUCAGUACAACCUUAACGGUGCAUUUAGUGGAUCAAUGCAUAACAUGGGUGUACCAACUCAGCCUGCAAGUCCUCUUGUCAAUGCAUCGUUUCAUCUUGCUCCCACCGAGGACCCAGAGGUUGAAGAGGUCGAUGGAACCCAAGUCUCAAACAAUAAGGGGAAGAAGAGGGUUGCCCAGCGAGGAAGGUCAUUCACCCAUGAGGAAGAUAGGGCAAUCUGCUCAGCAUUUCUGCAUGUUAGCAAGGACCCUAUUAUCGGUAAGCUGUAGCCGAUGACUUAAGUACUCCAUUUUUCCAUUGUCAAGCCUUUACGAGACAUGCUAUUUAACGUUGCCGCUACAGGAACCAACCAAACUUCUGCUGGGUACUACACGAGAAUGCAUCGACACUUCGUGGACAACAAUGGAGUGAGUACAAAUAGGACUAAGGUUUCAAUAGAAAACCGGUGGGGAACAAUUUAGAAGGCCGUCAACAAGUUUUGUGGCUUUUAUGACGCUAUCGAAAGGAGGAAUCAAAGUGGCAAGAAUGAGCAGGACAGGGUAAACCAUUUUAAAUAUUUAUUCAUUUGUUUUGUUGAUUGUUGCGCACAAUGAAUGUUUCUUUGGUUUGGACAGAUUAAUGAUGCCAUCAGGAUGUACGAAGAAAUCGAGCCAUGGCAAUUCCAUCACUGUUGGCUCAUUCUGCGAGGAGAGCUGAAGUGGCACGCGAGGAUGGUGGAAUGUAACAUGGCUCAAAGAGUUAACCAAAGGCCUGCCCCAAAAUGCUCCGAAACAGAAACAUGUUCUGUGCAGGCUGAAAGUACACUCCCAGACAGACCUGAACGAAGGGACAGCACCAAGAAGAGAGCCCGGAUAAUGGCUGAUACCUCAUCGUCAAGUGCAACAAUGGAAAUGCUGCAGAAGAUGCAUGAUAGAGGAGAGAAGAACGAUGUAAAGGAAGAUCAACUUAGGCACGAAAUGUUCAAGAUGGAGAGAGAGAGGCUUGAGCUGCAGAAGCUAAACUGGGAGAAGAAAUGGGUUGCCUGGGAGAAGAAAUGGGCAGUAAUGGAGUCCAAUGCCAUGACAUGAUAGAAUGAGUAUGAGUUGAACCAAUGGAACGCGGAUCUUAUGGUCAUGUCGCAGGAUCUUGACAAGUUAGCUCCACCACUGCGUGCAAUGUAUCCGCAGAAACAGGGGGAGAUCAUGAAGAGGAGAGGCAUCUCCACCCCUCCAACUAGUGAUUCCUGAGUGUUUGUAAGCUGUUAGUUUGUAAGCUGUUUGAGGCUUGAGUUGUAUUCGACUAUUUUUAUAAGAUGUUUGUGUGUUAUUUACAGAACUAUAUUUUGGUAAAGCUGUUUGUCAGUUACUUACACAACUAUAUUUUGGUAAAGCUGUUUGUGAGCUGGUCCGUUGGAAAUAGCAGGGCCUGCUAUUUCCAACGGACCAGCUAAAAUAGCUGGAGACUUUGGCCCAGCCUGGUUUGCGCCACGGAAAGGAAAAGUGCCGGGAGUUCCCUCGCUCAACAUUUCAGUUGCCGCCACAGCAGCGAAGUUCUCGCCCUCCAUGCGACCGCCGCCGUGACCCAAGCAUCGGCGACCCCGACACUCCGGCGGCCGGCAAGAGAUUUCCCGCCUUCGGCACACGUUUGUCAUCGGACGACCCUCACCUCCAGGCUCCAGUGAUGUAGGUCCGCACCGGCACUCUGCUUUGAUUUUGGGGCUUGACCUUGAACCGGCGCUCUGCUUCCACACACAAUCUCCAGGCCAGGCCAUGACCACCGAGACAGGAGCUAAUUGAGGUUUAGUCUAGUGUAUUGCUUAAUCCUUGUGGAGUCUUAGUUUCCUUCAAGGUCCGGUCUGAAUUUGUGCUUACAUUUCAAUACAUCGUAGCUGAGUACCUCCUUUGUAUUUGUGCUUAUGCUUUGAACAUAUCCCCAGUUGUUUAUGAUUUCAUAACGUUAUUUGUAAUGACCGUGGUACUGAACUUAAUGUGUGAUCUAUGUUGUACAGACUUCUCGAGCAUGUCUUCUUGGUUGCCUGAAGGAAUCACUUUUUGGCAUAAUAAAAGGAAGAAAGAUGAACAAUGCAUGGCAACUUCGAUUGUCUUGGCUUCGUUAGAUCCUUGUAAACGUAAGAGGGGUGGUUCGGCUGUAGGACAUUAAUUUAUGCGUCGUGAUAGAGAAGCAGCUUUUGAACAAAUCAUGAGGGAUUAUUUUGUUGAUGAUCCUCUGUACAGCGCGGAGGACUUUCGACAGCGGUAUGUACCCUUUCCUAUUGUCAGUUGUCACCCUUUUACCUUAUUUCUUGAGAUGGUACGCUCCAUAAACUAAUGGCCAAUGUAUUGCCUUGUCAUGCACAGGUUUAGAAUGAGAAAGUCCUUAUUCCUUGACAUGGUCUAGAAGAUUACCGAGAAGAAUUCAUAUUUUCUCCAACGCGAGAAUGCUUGCAAGCACAGUGGUUUCCAUCCCAUUCAUAAAUGCCUUGUGGCUAUGAGGAUGCUUGCCUACGGCAGUCCAGCUGAUUCGUUCGACGACACAUACCGCAUGGCCGAGUCAAUAGUUCUUGAGACUGUGAAGCAAUUUGCAAGAACCGUCAUUGCUGUUUAUGAGUCUGAUUUCUUGAGGCCACCAACUGCAAGUGAGCUUGAGAUAAUUUUACGAGUCAAUGAAGCUAGAGGUUUUCCUGGGAUGAUCGGUAGCAUUGACUGUAUGCAUUGGGAAUGGUCUAACUGCCCGACUGCGUGGCAUGGCCAGUACAAGGGGCACAAAGGCAAACCAACCAUAAUUCUGGAGGCUGUUGCUACGCAGGACUUGCGCAUCUGGCAUGCAUAUUUCGGAUUGCCUGGGUCCCAUAAUGACAUUAAUGUGCUUCAUAGGUCCCCGGCGUUUGACGACCUCGCUGAAGGACGAAGACCGCAAUUUGAGUUUGAUGUUAAUGGAAACAAGUACAACAUGUGUUACUAUCUUGCCGACAGAAUAUACCCUGAUUGGGCUACGUUGGUAAAAUCAUACAGUGAGCCGAUUAGUCUAAAGGAGAGAGUAUAUGCAGAAAGGCAGGAGUCAGUAAGGAAGGAUGUGGAACGAACUUUUGGGGGGUUACGGUCCAGAUUCAGGAUAAUUUAUAACCCUGGUAGGUUGUGGAGCCAAAGUGAUCUAAACGACAUCAUGCGUGUUUGUGUUAUUCUACACAACAUGGUGAUUGAAGAUGAGAGAAAUUUGUACAACAAUCACCAGGAGUUUGAGAUGUCUUCAGACCCACCGAUUUCUCAGAAUAGAGAUGUGCCAGAAAUUUCUCAGUUGAUUAAUUCGUCCACCAAAAUUCGUGACAAGGCCACGUCUAACAGAUUGCAACGAGACCUCAUGGAGCACAUUUGGUUUCUCUAUGGCAACGAUGCAGGACCUUUUGCAAAUAGACAGGGCCGGCAGGAACAUGGAACUCUGCGUUAAUAAUGAUGUAAUAGUUAUGUAAUAGUUCUCUUUUAGUUGUGAUAUAAUAGUUAUGUAAUAAUUCUCUUUUAGUACUCUGCAGUUAAUGAUAUAAUGUGGUAUAUAUUUCUGGUUUAGCAUCUGUAAAGAGCUCACAAACAGCUUUACCAAAAUAUAGUUGUGUAAAUAACUGACAAACAGCUUUACCAAAAUAUAGUUCUGUAAAUAACACACAAACAUCUUAUAAAAAUAGUCGAAUACGAAUAAACAUAGUCGAACACUCUGGUCUCAAGCCUCAAACAGCUUACAAACUAACAGCUUACAAACACUCAGGAAUCACUAGUUGGAGGGGUGGAGAUGCCUCUCCUCUUCAUGAUCUCCCCCUGUUUCUGCGGAUACAUCGCACGCAGUGGUGGAGCUAACUUGUCAAGAUCUUGCGACAUGACCAUAAGAUCCGCGUUCCAUUGGUUCAACUCAUACUCAUUCUGUCGUGUCAUGGCAUUGGACUCCAUUACUGCCCAUUUCUUCUCCCAGGCAACCCAUUUCUUCUCCCAGUUUAGCUUCUGUAGCUCAAGCCUCUCUCUCUCUCUCCAUCUUGAACAUUUCGUGCCUAAGUUGAUCUUCCUUUACAUCGUUCUUCUCUCCUCUAUCAUGCAUCUUCUGCAGCAUUUCCAUUGCUGCACUUGACGAUGAGGUAUCAGCCAUUAUCCGGGCUCUCUUCUUGGCGCUGUCUCUUCGUUCAGGUCUGUCUGGGAGUGUACUUUCAGCUUGCACAGAAUAUGUUUCUGUUUCGGAGCAUUUCGGGGCAGGCCUUUGGUUAACUCUUUGAGCCAUGUUACAUUCCACCAUCCUCGCGUGCCACUUCAGCUCUCCUCGCAGAAUGAGCCAACAGUGAUGGAAUGGCCAUGGCUCGAUUUCUUCGUACAUCCUGAUGGCAUCAUUAAUCUGUCCAAACCAAAGAAACAUUCAUUGUGCACAACAAUCAACAUAACAACUGAAUAAAUGUUUAAAAUGGUUUACCCUGUCCUGCUCAUUCUUGCCACUUUGAUUCCUCCUUUCGAUAGCGUCAUAAAAGCCACAAAACUUGUUGACGGCCUUCUGAAUUGUUCCCCACCGGUUUUCUAUUGAAACCUUAGUCCUAUUUGUACUCACUCCAUUGUUGUCCACGAAGUGUCAAUGCAUUCUCGUGUAGUACCCAGCAGAAGUUUGGUUGGUUCCUGUAGUGGUAACGUUAAAUAGCAUGUCUCAUAAAAGGCUUGACAAUGGAAAAGUGGAGUACUUAAGUCAUCGGCUACAGCUUACCGAUAAUAGGGUCCUUGCUAACAUGCAGAAAUGCUGAGCAGAUUGCCCUGUCUUCCUCGUGGGUGAAUGACCUUUCUCGCUGGGCAACCCUCUUCUUCCCCUUAUUGUUUGAGACUUGGGUUCCAUCGACCUCUUCAACCUCUGGGUCCGCGGUGGGAGCAGGACGAAACGAUGCAUUGACAAGAGGACUUGCAGGCUGAGUUGGUACACCCAUGUUAUGCAUUGAUCCACUAAAUGCGCCGUUAAGGUUGUACUGAAAAAAAACAGAGAUGUGAUUAGUGAACCAUAAAAAGUACGGUAUGCAAAAUCCAAAUUAGGAAGGAAACAUACCUUCUCUAGUUCCCUUAUGGUUGAUGGCAGAGGUAAUGACAACUCAUUGGAAUUGUCACCUCCUUGAGAUGGACCACCCUGAAACAUGUAAUUGAAUUGGUUCUCCAGCCUGAAAUAAAGAAUGUAUACUUUGUUAAAUAAUUGACUCCAUUAUUGCAAGCAAGUAGGGCAUACGAACUAAAUCGAACGAAAUCGUGCCCACAUCUAAAUCAAAGGAAAUCGAACACAAUCAGCAUCAGAGGCCACAAAGAUGCAGUGAAACUGAAAUUGAAACUGAAAGUACAGGUUACACAACUCAGAUUACUUCAUAUUUGCUCACAUGGUUAGUAACCUUUCCUCUAUAAUUCUGAUUACUUCAUAUUUACUCAUUAGAAACAUACACAAUCAUCCUACACAAUUAGAAUAUCACAUUUCAGCCAAUAAAAUAGUUGCAAAUUUCAUAAUCACCAUAGUUGCAGUUUUGUGCUUAGCAAAAUAGUAUAUACAUCCACAUGGUCAAGGUCCAUCAACUACAACGAAGGAAAUCGUGCCCAGAUCUAAAUCGAAGGAAAUCGAAGGAAAUCCAACACAAUCACAUCCUAUGCCCCUGCCGCAAGCAGCAUCGACCGGAAAUCCAUCAAGUACAACGAAGGUACAGUUGUGCAAGGGCACUGCCACGGCUGUCGCUGCCUCCCCCAGAUCUACGGCUCUACGCACAAAUCAUCGCAACAUGGAAGCAGGAAGAAGGCAAAGGGUCAGGGAGAAAGAUAGCACCUUGUCCGCGCGUCGGUGACCAAGGUGAGGAGGACGGGAUGCGCCCCGGCAGCGGUCGAGGCGGGGAGGACGAAAGUGCGCAGGCGGCGGUGAAGUGGUCGCUGGGCGCGACCCUGCAGGGAGGAGGGGAAGGCGCGUCGGUGGCCGAGGCGAGGAGGACAGGAUACGCGCCGGCGGCGGUCGAGGCGGGGAGGAGGGAAGUGCGCCGCCGGCGGUUGUCGCUAGGCGCGACCCUACGGGGAGGAGGGGAAGGCGAUACCGAUGGAGACGGAGGGGGAGCGGGACGGGGAGAAGCCGCCGUGCUACCGUUGGUACGAGUGGGCCCAACACCGAUGGCUAGCGCGAACAGCAGCAGCCAGUUUCGCUGCUUCUCUCUCCUGCCGCGAUUUUGGCUGGCACGUUGGAAGCCAUAUUCUACCCGCGCGGCAGCCAUUUUCACUUUGCCUGGCCGGAUGGCUGCUCCGUUGGAGUCAGCCUAACCAUGCAUUAACAACGUGAGUAUAUGGGUAAGUGCUCGCGUUUCGCGAGUCCGGCAAUGGCAUGAGGGAAAACAAAAACCAUUUUCGUUUCUCUGAACCGAUGCUCUUGUGAUCAAGGGUCCAGCUAUGAUGCAGCCAACCAAACAAUUAAAUCUGUCCCAUAGGCUAGUCAAAAAUAAAAGAAACCAAUCAUGCAAAUUAGAAUAGCCACUACCCACAUUUGUUGAGCUUAACAGGGCUGAUGGAGCAACAUUGGCCCCAACUGGUACGAAGUAACGGUCUAGUCAUCCAAUUAUUCGAUCCAAUUCCAACGUUCCCUAACAUGAGUCGUCGAGUUUUUAGGGCAACUUUAAUGUAUUUCGAAGAGUGCUACAAUCUGACACAUGAGGGAGGUGCUAAAUUCUGAAAUCUCUCUCCAACGCUACUUUGAACUAAGGUAGAUCACACAGGUAGGUCCCAUAGUUUACUUGAAAUAUUUCUCAACUGCUCUCCACGAAAGCAUCUCCCUCCAGUCGAGCGGCAAGUGCAACACAAGUGCAGCAUGCAGUUCUGACACACAUAAAUAAAAUAAUCUAUACCUCAGAUGCCCAAAGUUGCCACAGGUAUCAGACGACGCUAGUCCAGCAUCUCUGGUCCAAUGUUUUGCACCUCAACUACCUUUUUCUCUCAUCUCUGCACCUCCUUCGUAAGCACACUGCAGCUGCCCUCAUCCAAGCAGAAAAACACAGACAUGGCCUCUACGUGGCGUCGACGCCCGAUCGCGUCCAACACGCCACUUUGGUCUCCACGCCCACAGUCCAGCUAGCCCACGUCAACAACACGUCGCUAUCCGUCGCGUCCUUGGAUCAGAUCAGAUCGCACGCGCCUUUGAUAUAUAUCCACAUAUCCAUCCGCGCCACCUCCGCUUGGACCGCUUUUAUAUAAGAAAGCCACAGCACCGGUCUAGCUCGUAUCACUUUGCAUCUCUUCACAUCUCUGAUCUCUAUCUUUUCCACCGUAAAAUCCUCUAAUACACGAAUAAUACCAGUAAUGGAUGGGGAGAUGGACUGGAUCGCGGCGCGGUUCCUGCUGUCCACCAUACUCGGGGUGCACCCGCUGGUGGUCCUGGAUGACGGCGGCCGCGACGAAGAGCACUUCCCCGUGGACGACCACGGCCAGCGCGUGAUGGUGCCGGCGGCGAUGGUGGCGCCAGAGGGGCUGGCCGGCGUGUCGGUGUGCGCGGUGUGCACGGAGGAGGUCACGGCAGGACAGGCCGUGGUGCGGCUGCCGUGCGCGCACUGGUACCACGCCGGCUGCAUCGCCCCCUGGCUGCGGAUCAGGAACAACUGCCCGACGUGCCGGGCCGAGCUGCCUCGGGAGGCCGGGGCGGAGAGGCCGCGGCCGCCGGUGCAGCAUGCCGCACGGCUGGCGGAGGCGGCGAUGGAGACGGCCGGCGGCGGCGGGAGGCAUCCUACACGAUGCUGGCCGGCACGUUACCCAGCUAAUAAUUAAACUAGCUACGAUCCGGUGGACGUGACAGCCUGACAGGCAACGCGUGCGUGACAGUAGUACUAAGAUAUUUGAAUUUUUUUUUAUAUUAACUACGUCUCUGCCUGCAUCGUUGCUACAUAAAAGUUACAUUUUCAAUAACAAUCUAAGUGCACCGACGUGCAAGCCAUCACAUUGACAUUCUCAAUAACAAUCCAAGUGCACCGGCGUGCAAGCCAUCACAUUGACCGGAUCUUCAUUCUGAUUAAACUUGGUUGCAAAACAAGUGAUGCUAGGAGCGUAGCUGCACACCAUAUAGCAUCAGGCAGAGAAACCGGAGAGACUCCGGUGAAUUGUCGUUGUUCUCCUUCACAUACGUUUCUUUCGCAAUAAAAUGCACAUGAUGGAGCACCAUGUCGUAUGUAUUAUUCUUGUUGAUUGUGUAAUGUUCAAAUGGUCUUGCUAAAGGUAGCGACUGAGGAUACUAUUUCUUCAUUACUUUCUCUGAGCAAUACAAAUAGGCUCUAGUGCUCCACGGAGUUUACACAUGCGCAUUAGUUUGAGCGGUCCUCUUUGCCAACACAACAACACAAAACAAAGCUGAAGGUACACAAACAUCUUUAUUUUGAAAAAAUAUCUUAUCUAGUUUUCCAUGGAUCAACAUACUUUUCAUAAUUUAAAUUUCCAGGAAUGUAAGGAGGAGCUACACUAAGCCUCGGUGUUGAUCUACACAUGAUUCCUUAUAAUCCUCUAAGUAUGCUCUGAUGAUGAUCUCACCGCAGUACCAAAGCUUUAAAUUUAGCAUCACAUGGGCAAUUGACGUAAGUAAAGACUGUCAUAUGAAUGAUCCACUAAAAAAGGACUUGCUCAUGUAAAAUUAACACUCACCGCCUAUACCUCCAAACAUUCCACUCAUCUCCUUUGAUCUCAUUUGUUUCAUCAGAGACUGCAACUGCAGCAGGAAGACAUUGCUCAUAUGCUCGACAUUCAUGUUGCUGUACAGUGGGCUCAUCUCUCGUUUCUUUUGGGAUCUUGAUCCCUUUCAUCUUGCCCCCAGAUUCUAGUAAGCCGCUUGUACUCUUCCAGCUAGUCCCUGACAGGCCAGCCGGACCCUAGGCAGUCCCAAUGAUCCGUGAUUCAGUCAUCAGAUUCAAAUUUAUGCUGUCAAGCUCAGAGAUGAAAGCUAAGGCAAAAUUAAAAUUGUAGCAUGCUAUUACAUACUUUCCCCGUUCUAUUGCUACUGCGGGUCUUAUGCAAUCGAUCGGAUCAUAUAAAUAUCCCUUCAAGACAACAUAGGUCAUCGAAAGGAUCUCGGACGACUCACCAAAGCACGAAAGCCAGUUAGAAAAUGGAUUCCUAUUUGAAGAGUGCAUAACCGCAUGGAUAAGCUCACAUUAACCCGUCAAUUUUGGAUCCAAUUCGGGAUUUUUCUUGGGAAGUUUCGGGAAGAAAUUGGAAUAAUAUCGAUUCAUACAGAGGAAAAAGUUCUCUAUUGAUGCAAACGCUGUACAU